rnacentral:rRNA from 1 species
UACGAAGGGGGCUAGCGUUGUUCGGAAUCACUGGGCGUAAAGCGCACGUAGGCGGAUUUUUAAGUCAGGGGUGAAAUCCCGAGGCUCAACCUCGGAACUGCCUUUGAUACUGAGGAUCUGGAGUCCGGGAGAGGUGAGCGGAACUGCGGGUGUAGAGGUGAAAUUCGUAGAUAUUCGCAAGAACACCAGUGGCGAAGGCGGCUCACUGGCCCGGAACUGACGCUCAGGUGCGAAAGCCAGGGGAGCGAACGGG